AACCAUAGAAACCUGCGGAGUACCUGCGGAAGGAUCAUUACAGAGUUGCAAAACUCCCACAAACCAUCGCGAAUCUUACCCGUACGGUUGCCUCGGCGCUGGCGGCCCGGAAGGCCCUCGGGCCCCCGGACCCUCGGGUCCCCCGCUCGCGGGGGGCUGCCCGCCGGAGUGCCGAAACCAAACUCUUGAUAUUUUAUGUCUCUCUGAGUAAACUUUUAAAUAAGUCAAAACUUUUAACAA
rnacentral:misc_RNA from 1 species